rnacentral:rRNA from 1 species
UACGUAGGGGGCGAGCGUUGUCCGGAGUUACUGGGCGUAAAGCGCACGCAGGCGGUCUGCUAAGUUUGGAGUGACAGUUGGUGGCUUAACUGCCAAAGUGCUUCGAAAACUGACAGACUUGAGGGCUUCAGAGGGACACGGAAUUCCGGGUGGAGUGGUGAAAUGCGUAGAGAUCCGGAGGAACACCAAAGGCGAAGGCAGUGUCCUGGGGAGUACCUGACGCUCAGGCACGAAAGCGCGGGGAGCGAACAGG